rnacentral:rRNA from 1 species
UUAGCCGUUAACACAGGCAGUCAUCAUAACCCACUGCCCGCCAGAGAAGUACAAGCGAAAAGCUGGAAACUCAAAGGACUUGGCGGUACCCCACACCGGCCUAGAGGAGCCUGUCCCAUAAUCGAUACUCCACGCUAAACCUAACCAGCUCUUGACAACCAGCCUAUAUACCGCCGUCGCCAGCUUGCCUAAUGAUAGAUACACAGCAGGCACAACAGCCCACACUAAUACGUCAGGUCAAGGUGUAGCUUAUGAGCCGGGUAAAGAUGGGCUACAUUUUCUACGGUACAAGAAAACCCACCACAAGCUCAUUGAAAUUCUGAGCCAAAAGGCGGAUUUAGCAGUAAGUCAGACAAGUCAAGUCUAACUGAAACCAGCUCUGGGGUAU